AGGCAAUUGCUAGGAAACUAGAGGAAAGUCCAUGCUCGCACCUUCUGCGAUGGAGGUAGUGAUUGUGCUGGCGGAAAAAAUAACGCCAGGUAUGUAGGAGUACAUAACGGCGAGGCUAGCCUAAAAACUUAUGUUCAUGGUGAUGCUUCUUAACGUGCCACAGAGACGAGCCUAGUAGAAAUAUUAGGAUGAAACGUUGGUAAACCCCUCAAGCGAGAAACCCAAAUUUGGUAGGGGAGGUUGGCUAGAGAAUUGAAUCGAAGCCAGCAUGCAGCAAUGCAUAGAUAAAUUUUUGCCCUCGACAAAACAUGGCUUAUCG
rnacentral:RNase_P_RNA from 1 species